GAUGAACGCUGGCGGCGUGCCUAAUACAUGCAAGUCGAGCGAACGGACGAGAAGCUUGCUUCUCUGAUGUUAGCGGCGGACGGGCGAGUAACACGUGGAUAACCUACCUAUAAGACUGGGAUAACUUCGGGAAACCGGAGCUAAUACCGGAUGAUAUUUUGAACCGCAUGGUUCAAAAGUGAAAGACGGUCUUGCUGUCACUUAUAGAUGGAUCCGCGCUGCAUUAGCUAGUUGGUAAGGUAACGGCUUACCAAGGCAACGAUGCAUAGCCGACCUGAGAGGGUGAUCGGCCACACUGGAACUGAGACACGGUCCAGACUCCUACGGGAGGCAGCAGUAGGGAAUCUUCCGCAAUGGGCGAAAGCCUGACGGAGCAACGCCGCGUGAGUGAUGAAGGUCUUCGGAUCGUAAAACUCUGUUAUUAGGGAAGAACAUAUGUGUAAGUAACUGUGCACAUCUUGACGGUACCUAAUCAGAAAGCCACGGCUAACUACGUG
rnacentral:rRNA from 1 species